CCCAGGCGGAGGCGCAGGCCGGGCGGCGCCGCGGAGUCUGUCCGCAGACGGGACGGGGCGGGGCGUGCCUGAGGGGCGGGGCCGCGCGGUCCCGGGCCCCGACUGGCCCCGCCCCCCAGCUGGGGAUGCGCGGACCGAGGCGGCCUGCUUCUCCCAGCUGGAGAAGCCCAUCUGCUCACGGGCGGGGCGCUUGAGUCUCAGAAUGCAAGUUGUAACAGAGAUGAUGCCUGGGGCAGGAGCAGCUAUCUUGGCCUAUGAGAUGACUUUGGGAAAAAAAGUCACUCAGAGCAGAAUGAUAAGAUAGAAAAAGCGUGGACCUCUGUCACUGUAGUGUGCCAUCCCGGCUCCGGCUCUGGACCACUCAUCUCUGCAUUUUUACAUGAGAGAGGAAUAAACUUCUAUCAUGUUUAAACCA